rnacentral:rRNA from 1 species
UACGUAGGUGGCAAGCGUUGUCCGGAUUUACUGGGCGUAAAGAGCGCGCAGGCGGUCGUUCAAGUCGCGUGUGAAAGCCCCCGGCUCAACUGGGGAGGGUCACGCGAUACUGAUCGACUCGAAGGCAGGAGAGGGAAGUGGAAUUCCCGGUGUAGUGGUGAAAUGCGUAGAUAUCGAGAGGAACACCUGCGGCGAAGGCGGGUUGCUGGGCUGACACUGACGCUGAGGCGCGAAAGCCAGGGGAGCGAACGGGG